rnacentral:rRNA from 1 species
AGUCUUGGACAAUGGAGGCAACUCUGAUCCAGCCAUGCCGAUCCAGGCAGACUGCCCUAUGGGUUGUAAUCUAAUUUUAUAGAGGAAGAAACCCCGAUAUGUAUAUCGGUCUGACGGUACUAACGAAUAAGGAUCGGCUAACUGCCUGCCAGCAGCCGCGGUAAUAGGGAGGAUCCAAGCGUUAUCAGGAAUCAGCGGGUUUAAAGGGUUGGUAGUCGGUAUUGUAAGUCAGAAAUGACAGUUUUCAACCAACCGGAAAAUCAUAAACUAUAUGGCAAGACUUGAAUUGAGUGAAGUGGUUAGAAUGUGUAGUGGAGGAAAGUAGUGCAUAGAUAUUACAACGACUGCCGAUUGGGAGGGCCGAUCACUAACAACAUACGGACGGGAAGGGAAGAAAGGGGAGCAAACGAGCUGGGAUACCUACGUAGUCCACACCCUA